UCCUUUUCCUCACGGUUGUCAUUCUCCCGUAUCCCUAACCUCACGAAACCCACCAUCGAACUCAUCGCCUGCCAUGGAUUGCGCCGCCGCCCUGCUCCCUAUUGCCGUCGUCGCUCCGUUUCCCAUCCGCCGCCGCCGUCCAUCGCAUCCAGCCUCUGUCGCAUCCCAUCGUCUCCACCUCCACCACGAACCAUCUCUCUCCUUGGUCGUCUCUCUUGGACCAGCACGCGGCGGCGGAUUCUUCCGAUGGCGUGUGGCGACGCGUCCGGUCGAGGGAACGGGGGUGAGGCAGACUGCGUCCCGUUCAUCGAUCUGUCCCCACCUCAUGUUCCUCCUCUCCAUUGAAUUUCACGUCCCCAGUUACUGCGACACAGGACGCUCUCCACUCUUUGACAACAAUGGUGCCCGUCCUGUUGUGCCUCUCCACACUUACCAUCGAGGCGGAAAAAUAUUUGGAGAAGAUCGCGCUCCCUGUAGAAAAUUCGGCCGUGUUCUAAGUGGCUACCCAGCAAGAUAAUUUUCUGCUCUGAAGUUCUCUCAUGGAACUUGGGUGGGAUUGGCGAACGUGCUAGGUGGAGUACGUGCCACUGGAUGGCCAUGUUAGUGGGCAGAAUCUCCUCUCCUUCAGACACAAACUUGGGUUUGGCAAGGAACUGGACCCGUGCCGGAUGUUCAUCAGCAACGCCAGUCAGGGGUUCAGGCUCCUGUGGAACUCAUGGCAUCAGUCGUAUGGACCUUCAUGUAUUUGAUAGUUUUCUCGAUCACUUUUAUGCCCUCAACUACAGCUAAGGCUACCCCACAAGUUCAUUGAGAUUUGUUUUUUAUAGGACUUGGAUUAAUAAUCUCCAACAAUAUGGUCAUUGCUUCUUAUAUAUACUUUCAGUUCUAAAUACAUUUCAGAUUUUUUUCUUUAUCCUGUACUACUAAACUAUGUGUGCUAAACCAAACAUGGCAUCUGCGUCUUUUUAUGCAUGCAUGUUUCAAGACAAUAUAUCUAAUAUGUAGUAUACAGAAAGGUACCUAAAUAUUAGCUUAUAUUGCCAACUCUUGAAAAUAUACGGUCCCUGUACAUUUUUUGCCGAGAACCUGGGGAGCUUGGGACGAAGUAUGGUGUCAAUAAUCAGUAUAUACCAGAACAAUAUUUCAACACCGAUGUCACUUGCCACAGUACUUCCUUCACUGCCAAUCUAGCCGCAAACUCUGUUUGUCCUCGAAUCUAGCUCCACAAAGGUUGUGCUUUGCCGUGCAUCUAAAAGUAAGGUUACUAUCAUAAUUAAUUAGUAGAGCUUCUUCUCUAUUCAAAUUGAAUUUGAUAAGCAACAAAGUCCUCUGUGUCAUGCUUCAAUUAUAUGGCUCGAGCCGGCCAAACCUGAAAUGUUCGGUGAAGAUUCAAAGUACAUCUAGAUUACUUUGUGUUGCCCACAAUCCUAUUACUUGAUUUUUUUGAGCUAACUAUAUCUAUGGAUAAAUUUGCAAGAUGAUGCAAAAAAAUUGCUUGCAGGUAGGCUGUGUACAGAGAUGCAUGUUGUGAGUUCAUAACAAUUUUACAAUAUUGAGAUUUGUUUUAGAUGCUUCUAAGCAGUGCUAUAGCAGAACGGUGCUCCAUUUCCUUACUGUUGUUGCUAAAUAUUUGUUUUGUGGCAUAUUAGGACUGAACGGCAUCAUGCUAACAACCUCACCCUAGGAGUCAACUUCUUCACGGUCAUGGCAUCUGCCUCCACCAAUUAUCUAGAGUUAAGUUCCAGAGACAAUUGGGGAGGUCAACUUUGAGCUGCAGCACUCUAUGUGUUCACGCAAUCGGAACGCCCAAAAUAUCAUGCCAAUAUGUGAUUUAUGCCUUUUCUGUUAGGGGGAGCCAUGGUGUCCACAAGGCUCAAUCAAGUCGAAUUUCUGAUAUAGAUUUUAAAUGAUCAAGACAACCUAAGUACCUCUUUGCUUGGCCACCAUUGCCAAUAUCUAUGGAGCAGUUUUCAAGUGUGCAAAUUUCCAAACCAUUAAAACAACCUCUAGGAUUAUCUCCCUUCUCCACGGAUAAAUUGCUUGAUGUGUUCAAUGGUCCGGUUUUCCCUAAAUGUUAAACACUAAAAAGGCCUGAGUGGAUUAUCUCCCUUCUCCACGGAUAAAUUGCUUGAUGUGUUCAAUGGUCCGGUUGAAUUGGAUACAAGCAUGCUACAAAUCAAAUAGUUAUUUGAUAAGGCAUUUGAUGAGCUCCUGUCAUUCUAAUCUACUUCCCACAUUUUACAGCUGAUGUUAUUUAGUAAUCUGUAGUGAGCCUAAGAAAUAGUACUAUGGGGAGAAGCAGGCAACACGUAAUAUGUGUGUCAUUUGAGAAAAAUGAAACUUCCAACUUUCCAACUGUUCAUUGCAUAUUACAUGUAAAAGACACUAUCUUAGACAAAUAGAUGAUUCACCAGGUUCAAUGAAAGUUAGCUUAAAUACCAUGUAUUUUUCUGCACAUGGAUUAUUGCCUAUUGUAGAUCAUCCUCUGUACAUUUGUUAGUCUAAUAGUCAAGCAGGACAAAAAAGUUCACUCCAGUAAUGCCUUUGCUCUACAAGAUCUGACAAUUGUUAAAACAACAAAUCACAGACUAAUGAUUUCAUUUGUUUGCGGGAAUAGGCACUGUAUUUUUCACUCUUAUGCAAAAAAAACUUUAAGUCGCGAUUUUUUUUAAAAAAAUUCAUGAAAGAUCUCGAGGGUGAGACAAUUUUCAUCAUAUUCAGAGGAAUAUUAGCUUGAGUACCAUAUAGAGGGUGAGACAAGUGGUACUUGACAUAACAUGUCUCUUGCGUUAAUUUUCUUAUUCAGGUGGCACACUACGUGUAGCAAACUCAUUCAUAGUAAAGAAAUGAAUGAUAUCAUUUCUCAUGCCACGGAAGUAUGGUCUGAAGUUGCCUUACUCUGAGGACCUUUUUUCAACAUCUAUGACCUGACUAGCAAAUUAUGGCAACAGCAGUCACGUCAGGCAUAAUACAACGCACAGGGCCAUCAACUAGCUCCAUAAAUCUUAAUCUCAUUUUCUGUGAUUGUUGGUUUGCUAUAUAAGUCAUUGAUGAUGAAAGAAUGUAGAAACCACGUGUUGGGUACAAUAUUUAACCAUACAAUUUCUGCUAGAAACCAUCAUAAUCCAUGCCUCCCCCCCUACUUUUCUUACAGCAAACUAAUAGAUCUCAACUAACCACAAGCUUAGCCUGUGGUAUACUGCAUAAAUAUCUAGCUUAUGGAAAGCCUGGUAAGUGGAGCACUGGAGCGCCUUCUAACUAGCAGAGCCCAAUUCACUGUUUUGUACAUAGAUGAGAAAUUUGCUUGCUGCCACUCAUCUAAUAUCAGAUGUUUCUGUUCCAUGUGGAACUAACAGUUCACAUCUCUAGCUCUACUGCUUUGUUGUUGUACACAAAAGCUUUUGUAACCACGAUGCUGAUAUACGUAUGAUAGGUACUUCAUGUGCCACCACGUUUGUAGGCAGGUUUCAAUAAAAGUAUUAGAAAUUACAUUUUUUCCACAUUAAUCAAAUAUUCAGUAAUGGAUUUUUGGUUCUAUUUUUAUUGCAAACCAGUUCAUUCUUCGCAAACAAGAAAUUCUACAUGCUGCGGAGAACCACAUCUACAACAGAUCAGGUUACUUGGUGUGAACAAAUUGGAUGGGCCACAACUUAGUUUACAAAAAAUUACUACAGAUGUAGAACAAGCCAGUGGGAAUUUGUGUCUUGACUAUCUGUCAUAUUUUAUAACUAUCAUACUUUGUAGUGCUUAUUAUAAUGGGGGAUAGAUUCUGAGAUGUACUACUAUUA